GACGAACGCUGGCGGCGUGCUUAACACAUGCAAGUCGAACGGAAAGGCCCUGCUUGCAGGGUACUCGAGUGGCGAACGGGUGAGUAACACGUGGGUGAUCUGCCCUGCACUUCGGGAUAAGCCUGGGAAACUGGGUCUAAUACCGGACAGGAGCCAUUUUUAGUGUGAUGGUUGGAAAGUUUUUUCGGUGUAGGAUGAGCUCGCGGCCUAUCAGCUUGUUGGUGGGGUAAUGGCCUACCAAGGCGGCGACGGGUAGCCGGCCUGGGAGGGUGGACGGCCACAUUGGGACUGGGAUACGGCCCAGACUCCUACGGGAGGCAGCAGUGGGGAAUAUUGCACAAUGGGCGCAAGCCUGAUGCAGCGACGCCGCGUGGGGGAUGACGGCCUUCGGGUUGUAAACUCCUUUCGCUAGGGACGAAGCUUUUUGUGACGGUACCUAGAUAAGAAGCACCGGCUAACUACGUG
rnacentral:rRNA from 1 species